rnacentral:lncRNA from 1 species
GUUAGGAUAUUUCAUACCGAGAUCAAAACAUAUACAAAUACACACAUCAUAGGGUACCUAAUGCGUGCAACAAACCGGAUAACGUGUACGGCAUAUACUACGUCACCGUCAAAUCACAAAUCACAUCAACUGAACUGGAUGCAUCCACGUAUCCUGAACAAAUAAUCAAAAUGGCCAAAGCUCCUCCCAAGAGCUAACAGAAGGAUACGCCGUGACCAAUCCCACUGUCACGGAAGUGUCAUGUCAAUGGUGCCGCAAAGACAUGGCUGUAGUACCCCCACAGCUGGGAAACUCGAUAUACCCUAUAUCUCUCUAAGGGUUCAAACAAAACAACUUUCACAACUUUAGAAUCACAUGGUACAUAUAUUUCGAAUAAACUGAACAAAUCAUAUUUUGUAAAUUCUUUGAAAACCGCAUCAAAAAUAUUUCAAUCUUUUAAAACAGAUUUUUAAAAUAUUUUUCGGAAAUCAAAACAGUCAAUGAAUAGCACAAAAGAAACUUAGCAAGUCGGACGGAUUAAAAUAGGACAGGUCAAAUUUAUUUAAUACCGAAAGGAGUAGCGCUGAAUAAAAGGAAUAGAAUCCGUACGAAUCAAAAAUAGUUUAUUUCCAUGAGGAAUAGCCGAGUAAAAUUCGAACAGAAGUAAAACAGAUUCUUUUAAAAGAUUUUGAAAUAAAUUGUGAGAUAAUUUUCAGAAAUCAAAUCAGUCAAAUAAAUAUUCGCGGAAGGAACAGAGUAAAGAUGAAACGAAUAUAACAAGUUGUAACAUGAAUAUUGCUGAAUUAAACAAGGACGAAUCUGUACAAACACACCGAACAGAAAGGAUCAAAACAGAGUAAUCAAAUUUACCUAACACUAAUAGAAGUAGUGCUGAAUAAAAGAGAACGAAAUCCGUACCUCGAAAAUAGCAAACUCAAAGACUAACGAACCUCGCAAGGGACCAACUAAACUCCCGAACCCCGACUUUAACUUAAACUCCAAUUAUCUCCAUGAUUGCAAUCUGCCCAGACCAAUAAUAUACUGUUUUGACCCUCUAAACGAUGUUUGACUAGAUUGAAGUUGGAAACAACUUGUAGCUUCUGUAACACCCCCAUCUUAAAUUAAGACGAGAGGUUACCUACAAAUCCAAAAUCUGCAAACAGAGUACUAAUAUGUUCCAAACUUGAGUAAAUAGAAUCACUAACCAUAAAUUCUUAAUAACACUAAAAGUCCAUCAUCCUAGUUCAAUUUUAAAUCCUAAUUAUAAUCCAAUUUUAAUCCCCUUUUUAUUAAUACUAAUCUAUUAAUGUUAUUCUAAAAAUUACUGGAUAUUACAUUCUACCCUCCUUAAAAAGAAUUUGGUCCCCAAAUUCUCUCAAAUCUACUCUCCAAACCCACUUAAAUCAAGACAUAUAACUAAUUAAUUAAAACUACGUAUAUUUUAUGAUAUUCAGAGCAGGCUCUCGAAAGCUUGAUUCGUCAAGUUGCCGGAGGUGGGGACACGAAGGCUGGUGGUAUUAUCCCGCAAUGGACAGAGAUCCGGAGGCGGGGACACGAAGCCAGCUGGUAUUAUCCCACAAUGGCUAGAGAGGUUCGAUCUGGGCCUAUGGGCUAUCCGUUUCGGCCUGACGAGGACGUCAGGAAUUUAAGUGGGGGAGUUUGUAACACCCCAGUCCCACAUCGAGGAGUGUGGAGACUUUAGUUCAGUUUAUAAGCAUAAGUACUACUACUAAUUGCACCAACAAAUCAUGAUCUUUUGGGGGCCUGUGGUGGGCUUGUGGAUUACCCAAGUUGUUGCAAUUGGGCCAGUAUAUUUGGGCUUAUUUUCGGAUUCGAAAUUUGGGACUUGACCCGAUUUUCGAAAAAGACUCGGGAUUUGACCCGGGUUCCCCAUCUUAAAUUAAGACGAGAGGUUACAUACAAAUCCAAAAUCUGCAAACAGAGUACUAAUAAUUUCUUGAAUGAUUUAAAUCCUCGAAACACUAAUGGUCCAUACGUCUUAGUCACUGUAACUGAGGGUAGCUCUCGAUCACACAGUCCCGAAUCCCCCUAAGUACCUGCCAGAAGAAGAAUACGGCAUGAGCCAAAUGCCCAGUACGGAUUGGAAGCAUUUACAAAACAAGAAACAUUUAAAAAUAUUUUGACCAUCUUAUAAAACAAUAAUUUUUAAAAUAAAUAGGCUGAUGCAACGAGGGUUAGGAUAUUUCAUACCGAGAUCAAAACAUAUACAAAUACACACAUCAUAGGGUACCUAAUGCGUGCAACAAACCGGAUAACGUGUACGGCAUAUACUACGUCACCGUCAAAUCACAAAUCAUAUCAACUGAACUGGAUGCAUCCACGUAUCCUGAACAAAUAAUCAAAAUGGCCAAAGCUCCUCCCAAGAGCUAACAGAAGGAUACGCCGUGACCAAUCACAC